rnacentral:tRNA from 1 species
UCCCUGGUGGCUCAGACGGUAAAGCGUCUGUCUACAAUGUGGGAGACCUGGGUUCGAUCCCUGGGUCAGGAAG